UUCNGCCUGAUCCAGGUCCAUCUAGUCUGA
rnacentral:piRNA from 1 species